rnacentral:tRNA from 1 species
GUUUGCAUAGCUUAAAGAGUAAAAGCGUGGUAUUGAAGAUACUAAGAUAAAUUAUUUUUGUUAACA